GAAAAAGAAAAUAGAGGAACUUGAGCAUGAGAGGAACAUGUUGAGCAAAGAGCUUGAGAGUGAAAAGGCAGCUCGAGAAGAGGCGUGGGCCAAGGUUUCUGCUCUUGAACUAGAGAUAAGUGCUGCUAUGCGGGAUCUUGAUUUUGAGAGGCGCAGACUGAAAGGUGCUAGAGAAAGAAUAAUGCUACGGGAAACACAACUUCGGGCUUUCUAUUCUACUACCGAGGAGAUCUCAGUUUUGUUUGCA
rnacentral:misc_RNA from 1 species